AACGAACGCUGGCGGCAGGCCUAACACAUGCAAGUCGAACGAACCCUUCGGGGUUAGUGGCGGACGGGUGAGUAACACGUGGGAACGUGCCUUUAGGUUCGGAAUAACUCAGGGAAACUUGUGCUAAUACCGAAUGUGCCCUUCGGGGGAAAGAUAUAUCGCCUUUAGAGCGGCCCGCGUCUGAUUAGCUAGUUGGUGAGGUAAUGGCUCACCAAGGCUACGAUCAGUAGCUGGUCUGAGAGGAUGACCAGCCACAUUGGGACUGAGACACGGCCCAAACUCCUACGGGAGGCAGCAGUGGGGAAUCUUGCGCAAUGGGCGAAAGCCUGACGCAGCCAUGCCGCGUGGAUGAUGAAGGUCUUAGGAUUGUAAAAUCCUUUCACCGGUGAAGAUAAUGACUGUAGCCGGAGAAGAAGCCCCGGCUAACUUCGUGCCAGCAGCCGCAGUAACAC
rnacentral:rRNA from 1 species